rfam:Cricetulus griseus cell line CHO-K1, whole genome shotgun sequence.
ACUGGGAUGGCUGAGUGAUUAAGGCGUUGGACUUAAGAUCCAAGGAGCGAUUGCCCACAUGGGUUUGAACCCCUCUGCCAGUA